GAAAAUACCUUCAUCAGAAGAGUGCAGUGGUUCAGGAAGCUGGUUUUACCAGCAAUACCAAAUACAAGAAAAAAUAGGUGCUACUCAUUGCAGCCACUGUGCACAACAGGUGGAGGGAGUAAACGUUUAGAGUCAUAAAUGGGGUACUUAUCAAGUGGGCUGCUUUGUCCUCCUUAACUGGUGUUGGAGCUCAACUCAUCAAGCAAGAAGGAAGUAUUCCCUAAAAAACUAUGACUAGUGCCUUUCAGAUGACGAUAAGGAUUUUGGGUGAGCCACAGUACUUAUGUACAGUAGCUAAUCUAGUGGUGCAUCUCAUUGAUGGUAAACCGUAUUAUCUUGAUUGCAGGAGACAUGACAGCUUUUCAUCUCCAAGGAACUAAAAUGACAAUUCCAAAGAAUAAGAAAGUUAAAAGCAAAACAAGUGCUGUAAACUGGAAAUAAAUCAGAACACGAAUGAUGUGCACAGCAGGAUUCUCAUAUCUGAAGGAGAAAUCAUUAGCACUUCAAAUGCAUGGCAGGACGCUUGCAUUGAAGAUAAACUGCUGGCAAUUCCGUGAGCUAUGUCCCUUCUCACAGAGCUCAUCAGAUCGAACACAGAAGCAGCUUCUGUUACAAUUCAUAUUUAAAACAGUCUUCCAGGCCAAUUAUUCAGUCUGCUUUUUUGAGCACUGGUUGACAUAUUACUGUUAAAUUCAGCCACCUCAAAACAAGUUAGCUUUCUUUAAUUGGAAUGCAAUCCCCUCAGAGUUAAAGCUGCUGAUAUGUGGAAAGAUAACAUAUUCAACAGUAAAACUGUAAAAUGACACAAUUUACAGGGAUAUGGAGAGGUGAAGCCAAAUAAAAAAUUUUUAAAUUUCAGACUAAAACUUUCUGAAAGUGUGCAAAAGAAAGAGGAGCUGUUGCUAUUUCAGGCUAAUGAACUAUCAUCAGAAACAACGUGGGGUAGAUCAGAAAUAGGAACAGUAUUGCUGUUUAUUAUAUGCAUUGAGGGUAAGAGGUAUGAUGAGUAAGUUUAAAAACCAUGAAAAUUGGCAACUUGGUUUACUACUGUCACAUGCAUUGGAUGAUGAGAGGCCUAGGUAGAGUGGACAGUGAGCACCUUUUCUCAUGGUAGAACCGGCUAAUCUGAAAGGGUCCUGAUGAAGGGUCUUGGCCCGAAAUGUCAACUGUACUCUUUUCUUUAGAUGCUGCCUGUCCUGCUGUGUGGGUAUGUUUGAGGGAGUUCUUUUUUAAACACAAAGUGUGGUAAGUGCAUGGAACACACUGCCAUGGCUGGUGGUCGGGACACUUAAGAGAUUCUUAGGUAGGCACAAGAAUAAUAGAGAAAUGGAGCGCUGUGUGGGAGUGAGGGAGAGGUUACAAUGAUCUUGGACUAGGUUAAAACUUUGGCACAACAUUGUGUUCUUCAAAAAUUAUAAGACACACUAAAAAAGAGUUCUGAGAAAGUGAAUUACUUUUGGACUGUAAAUAUAACUUGCCUUCAGCAACAAUGAAAUAAAUGCUCUUGACAUUAUUGAUUGAGAGAGGAAACAGAACAAAGAACUGGGAGAAAUUGCUAUCUGGAAAUUAAUAUCUUAAACCUUAAGUAUAUUUCUUUCUUCCUCUUGGCUACAUGUUCUACAUCUCUUGUCAACCAUUGUUCCUUCCCUCCACCUUCUUUAGUUGGACAAACCAAACCAGGGCCCCAUGGAAGUGCUCCUUAAACAAGUUCCACAUUGUCAUUAGCUGAAUCAAAAGUAGUGAUGAAUCAGCAUAUAGGAGAGAGACUGAAAAUCUGGGUGAGUGGGGCCACAACAACCUCUCACUCAAUGUCAGCUCAACCAAGAGCUGAUUAUUGACUUCAGGAGGAGGAGAUCUGAGGUCCGUGAGCCAGUCCUCAUCAGGGUGCCAAAAGUGGAGAGGGUCAGCAACUUUAAGUUCCUCAGUGUUAUCAUUUCAGAGGAACUGUCCUGGGUCCAGCAUGUAAGUGCAAUUAUGAAAGAGGCACGGCAGUACCUCUACUUCCUUAGAAGUUCGUGAAGAUUCGGCAUGACAGCUAAUACUUCGACAAACUUCUAUAGAUGCGUGGUAGACAGUAUCAUGUAUCCUGGUAUGGAGACACCAAGGCCUUUGAACAGAAAAUGCUACAAAAAGUAGUGGAUAAAGCCCUCCCCUCCACUGUGUUCAUCUUCAUGAAGCGUUGGAGGAAAGCAGCAUUCAUCAUCAGGGACCUGAGCACCCAGGUCAUGCUCUCUUCUUGCCACUGUCAUUAGGAAGAAGGUGCAGGAGUCUCAAGACUCACACUACCAGGUUCAGGAAUAGUUAAUUCCCCUCAACCAUUGGAUUCUUGAACCGGGGGGGAUAUUACUAAUACUUUCUCUUUUGUAUUUGCACAGUUUGUUGUCUUUUGCACACUGGCUGUUUGACUGCCCUGCUGGAUGUGGUCCUUCAUGAUUCUUGGAUUUACUGAUUAUGCUCACAAGAAAACAAAUCUCGGAUCACUUGGAAUACCAGAGACACAACACAUUGCUACACCACCAUCAAGAAUGCCUACCGUGCUACUCCACGCCCUCACUUCGGGAAGUCUGAUCACCUGGCUGUACUUCUACUUCCUGAGUAUAGGCAGAGACUGAAGACUGCAGCACCAGUAGUGAGGACCAAGAAGGUUUGGACAAGGGAAGCACAGGAGCACCUACAGGACUGUUUUGAAUUGGUGGACUGGCCAGUAUUCAGUAAUUCAUCUUCAAACCUGGAUGAGUAUGCUGCAGUUGUUACCAACUUCAUUAAAACCUCUGUGGAUGAGUGUGUGCCUACAAUGAUUACUGUACUUUCCUAAACCAAAAGCCGAGAAUGAACCAGGAGGUAUGUCGUCUGCUGAAGACUAGAUCUGUGGCAUUCAAGUCUGUCAGGUUGGAGGAACAACACCUUAUAUAUUGGCUGGGUAGCCUCCAACCUGAUGGCAUGAACAUUGACUUCUCUAACUUCUGUUAAUGCCUCUGUUCCCCUUCUUACCCCAUCCCUGAUUUAUUUAUUCCCCCUCCUUUUUUCCCCCCACUCUCUUUGCCUGUUCUCCAUCUCCCUCUGGUGCUCCCCUCCCCUUUCUUUCUCCCUAGGCCUCCCGUCCCAUGAUCCUUUCCCUUCUCCAGCUCUGUAUCACUUUCGCCAAUCACCUUUCCAGCUCUUAGCUUCACCCCUCCCCCUCCUGUCUUUUUCUAUCAUUUCGGAUUUCCCCCUCCCCUUCUUACUUUCAAAUCUCUUACUAUCUUUUCUUUCAGUUAGUGCUGACGAAGGGUCUCAGCCUGAAACGUCAACAGUGCUUCUUCCUACAGAUGCUGCCUGGCUUGCUGUGUUCCACCAGCAUUUUGUGUGUAAAGCAAAUGCAAUGCUGGCAUUCAUUUCUAGGGGUAUAGAAUAUAAGAACAGGGAUGUAAUGUUGAGGCUCUAAAAGGCACUCGUGAGACCACACUUGGAGUAUUGUGUGCAGUUUUGGGCUCCUUAUUUUAGAAAGGAUAUACUGACAUUGGAGAGGGUUCAGAGAAGAUUCAUGAGAAUGAUUCUAGUAAUGAAAGGGUUACUGUAUGAGGAACGUCUGGCAGCUCUUGGGCUUUAUUCCCUGGAGUUCAGGAGAAUGAGGGGGGAUCUCAUAGAAACAUUCGGAAUGUUAAAAGGCCUGAACAGAUUAGAUAUGACAAAGCUAUUUCCCAUGGCAGGGUAUUCUAGGCCAAAGUGCACGACCAGGUUGCAAGGUGUCCUUUUAGACUUUAGUCAGAGGCUGGUAAAUUUGUGGAAUUUGUUGCCACGAUCCGCUGUGGAGGCCAAGUCAUUGGGUGUGUUUACGGCAGAGAUUGAUAGGUUCUUGAUUAGCCAGGGCAUUAAAAGGUAUGGAGUGAAAGUAGGGGAGUGGGGAUGACUGAAAGAAUUGGAUCUACCCAUGAUUGAAUGGCACAGCAGACUUGAUGGACCGAAUGGCCUGCUUCUGAUCCUAAAUCUUAUGGUCUUAUGGAAUGAAAUAAUGAACCACCUUCUUGAACAACAUUGUAUUGUUAGGUGGGACAGAGUGCCUUGCAAGGUUAUUUUGAAUUUUUUUAGAACACUGGAAUACAUAAGCCAAUCUGAACUUGAGGUGGAGUGUAAUGGCACUGGACUGGGGCAGGAAAAAUGGCUAGAAUGCUUCUGGGAAUGAGGAGUUUCGAAUUUGCAGAUAAAUUACUUGAUUAACUUUCUUAAGUGACCAAGAUCAGUGUGGAUUGGUAACAACAUGUCCUCUACACAAGUGCACCUUAAGGAUAUAUGCUUAGACAACAGCUCUACUCUCUCUGUAACACCCUGGGAAAGGUUUCACUGCUAAUGUAAUGGUUUUUCUGUAGCAGCAGUGUUUGGGUUAUGGCUAGAGAUAACGGGGGUUUUGGAAUGUGCACCAUCCAGUGAAGGGAGUGCUUUUUUCUUGCGGUGUGCCUGAGACUGAGGUGAUCAGCAUCAUUUGUUCGGUGGAAGGUGGAAGGAGAAGAUGCCAGAAAGGAGAGGUCAUAGACACCAGAAAGGAGUGGACUUGGAGUGGGGCUGGGAGUCGACGAAGCCCGAGGAAAUCGAUGGAGGACCAGCAGAAGGGAAACCGUGAUCUCCAACGUGCACGUUAGACUGUUUUAUUAAAAUGGGCCCUUUUCUUGUUGUUUUACUUUAUUAACCCUUUAGUCAAAUUAAGAACUAUACAGCUCGUUUAGUUGCAAACACAGGUCCUGACGAAGGGUUUCAGUUGACAGUUGACAGUGCUUCUCCUUAUAGAUGCUGCCUGACCUGCUGCGUUCCACCAGCAUUUUGUGUGUGUCGUUUAAUUGCAUAUGGUGUACUGUCUGUUAUUUUGUGGUAUUGAUUUGUAACAGGGUAACAUAUUACGCAGCAUUCACAUAAACAGGAGGCUUUGCACCUCAGUCUCAUACAUUUUUGAAGGGGCCAGAGAUUGUCUUCCUUAGACAUAUGCAGCCGGCAGAAACUGAGUACAUCUCUGCACUCAUAACAGCGUGGCUAAUUUCAGUUGAAACACCAUUUAUCAAUUCACUCAUGUCAGCGGUGGAACGGAUGAGCAGCUUCAAAUUCCUGGGUGUCAACAUCUCAGAGGAUCUAUCCUGGGCUCAAUACAUUGAUGCAACCACAAAGAAGGCAGAGUAGCAGCUCUACUUUGUUAGGAGUUUCAGAAGGUUCAGCAUGUUAUCAAAGACUUAAGGAAAUUUCUAUAAAUAUAUUGAGGAGAUAUUAUGAAAUCAAAUUAUCUUAAGAAUUAACAAAGUAGUAAAAUUCUAAACAAGAAAAACAUGUCCCUGCAAAAAUAAAAGUCUUAAUAAUUUUCCAAUUCUUCUUAGGUUCUAUUGAUGUUGACUGUGUAGACCAGUUCUGGUUAAAUGGAAGCUGAGAACUUGUUGAAUAAUAUGCCAGCAAAAGUUGUGUCUGGAGUGAGGGGAUGGGGCUAGGGGUGG